rnacentral:rRNA from 1 species
AUUGAACGCUGGCGGCAUGCCUUACACAUGCAAGUCGAACGGCAGCACGGGAGCAAUCCUGGUGGCGAGUGGCGAACGGGUGAGUAAUAUAUCGGAACGUGCCCAGUCGUGGGGAUAACGUAGCGAAAGCUACGCUAAUACCGCAUACGAUCUACGGAUGAAAGCGGGGGAUCGCAAGACCUCGCGCGAUUGGAGCGGCCGAUAUCAGAUUAGGUAGUUGGUGAGGUAAAGGCUCACCAAGCCGACGAUCUGUAGCUGGUCUGAGAGGACGACCAGCCACACUGGGACUGAGACACGGCCCAGACUCCUACGGGAGGCAGCAGUGGGGGAAUUUUUGGACAAUGGGCGCAAGCCUGAUCCAGCAAUGCCGCGUGCAGGAUGAAGGCCUC